rnacentral:lncRNA from 1 species
CUUCAUGAAAGAAACACUUUUUACAGGUUUGCAAAGAAAUGAGUAAAUUAGGGAGCAAAUCAUUAAAGAUGAAAAGAUAGGGUGCAGAUUAAAAAUGAAAGUUACAUUAGGGGUGUAAAACACAAAGUGAGAAUCAUAUAUAUAUAUUUCAAACCUUGUAAAAUUAUAGGAUACUCUUUCAUACCUAGUUGUAGCUUGUUUUCCUAACCAUCAGCGACUUGGUUAGCCUCCCUAAAGCAGUGUAAUGAUGAUCGAACCCAUCUCGAUGAGUUCAUGAAAUCACUUGCCUCUCGUCCAAAUGCCCUACAUUGGAUUAGAGGCAGGUGAUUUCCACGAACUCAUCGAUCAAGUUCAUCAGGAAUCCAAUAAUUUUUGUAUGUUGUAUGUUUACAAAAUCAAAUAUAUGCACUAAGUAAGGCACAUAGCCACAAUUUGGACCUCUUGUCCGUUCAUUCACCAUGCUAUUUGUAAAGGGUAAUAGUAGAUAUAUAUAAUUGUACUUAGUCUAAGGUAUCUUUAGACUGGGAUUUUAAGCCAUGAA